AAAGUUCAGCCCUGAAAAUGCAGCUCAGCAUAUCAGGUACCGAGCCUUGAGUAAGUACUGGUAACAGUGCGUGCUAAGCGUAGGCAGGGAAAUAAUAGGCCGUAAGCCAAAGAGCUGAAGUGAUUGAGCCUCGUAAACAUAAUACUGAGAUAGCCGAUGAUUUGGAAUGUAUCAGAAGGCAAUAUCGAAUAGGACGUUAAGAGAAGAAAUAUUCGACAUCUCCGGGGUCUUAGAGCA
rfam:Piscirickettsia salmonis strain PM15972A1, complete genome.